rnacentral:rRNA from 1 species
UACGUAGGGGGCAAGCGUUGUCCGGAAUCAUUGGGCGUAAAGAGCGUGUAGGCGGCCAGAAAAGUCCGCUGUGAAAACUCGAGGCUCAACUUCGAGCUGUCGGUGGAAACUUUCUGGCUAGAGUCCGGAAGAGGAGAAUGGAAUUCCUGGUGUAGCGGUGAAAUGCGCAGAUAUCAGGAAGAACACCCGUGGCGAAGGCGGUUCUCUGGGACGGUACUGACGCUGAGACGCGAAAGCGUGGGGGGCGAACAGG